UUAAAAUGUUAUCAGAGGUGCCCAGAUGGGAUUAGCUCCCAAGAGGGGUAACGGCUCACCUAGGCGACGAUCCCUAGCUGGUCUGAGAGGAUGACCAGCCACACUGGAACUGAGACACGGUCCAGACUCAUACGGGAGGCAGCAGUGGGGAAUAUUGCACAAUGGGCGCAAGCCUGAUGCAGCCAUGCCGCGUGUAUGAAGAAGGCCUUCGGGUUGUAAAGUACUUUCAGCGGGGAGGAAGGCGAUAAGGUUAAUAACCUUGUCGAUUGACGUUACCCGCAGAAGAAGCACCGGCUAACUCCGUGCCAGCAGCCGCGGUAAUACGGAGGGUGCAAGCGUUAAUCGGAAUUACUGGGCGUAAAGCGCACGCAGGCGGUCUGUCAAGUCGGAUGUGAAAUCCCCGGGCUCAACCUGGGAACUGCAUUCGAAAACUGGCAGGCUAGAGUCUUGUAGAGGGGGGUAGAAUUCCAGGUGUAGCGGUGAAAUGCGUAGAAGAUCUGGAGGAAUACCGGGGGCGAAGGCGGCCCCCUGGACAAAGGACUGACGCUCAGGUGCGAAAAGCGUGGGGGAGCAAAACAGGAUUAGAUACCCUGGUAGUCCACGCCGUAAACGAUGUCGAUUUGGAGGUUGUGCCCUUGAGGCGUGGCUUCCGGAGCUAACGCGUUAAAUCGACCGCCUGGGGAGUACGGGCCGCAAGGGUUAAAACUCAAAUGAAUUGACGGGGGCCCGCCCAAGCGGUGGAAGCAUGUGGUUUAAUUUCGAUGCAACCCGAAAGAACCUUACCUGGACUUGACAUUCCC
rnacentral:rRNA from 1 species